rnacentral:rRNA from 1 species
UACGUAGGGUGCAAGCGUUAUCCGGAAUUAUUGGGCGUAAAGAGCUCGUAGGCGGUUUGUCGCGUCUGCUGUGAAAACUGGGGGCUCAACCCCCAGCCUGCAGUGGGUACGGGCAGACUAGAGUGAUGUAGGGGAGACUGGAAUUCCUGGUGUAGCGGUGAAAUGCGCAGAUAUCAGGAGGAACACCGGUGGCGAAGGCGGCCUGCUGGGCAGUUUUGCUGACACUGAGGCGCGACAGCGUGGGGAGCAAACAGG